CUCAGUAGCGAGAGCUUGUAACCUAAGCGGGGGCAUUAAGGUGGUGUGGAUGUUUCCUGACGGAUUCUGGGCCUGGGCCUGUAUGUGCCACUGGCCGGCCUGCCCGUUCCAAGUUGGUUGUGGCUGGUGGGGCUCGGGCGAAGGCCUGGGCCUCUUUAGACCUGAAGCGGCAGGCAUGGCGUGAGGCUGGCUUCACAGAGCAGCGAUCACUGCCCGCUUCCAACGGUGGGAGGAUAACAGGCCGCUGCAUUGCAAGCCCAACUCGGUCCAGAGCCUCAUUAAACAGACCACCAUCUUUUUGUUUUUUUUGGACUGUUCUUCCCUCGGCGCAAAAAAUGUUUUUGCUUUUAAUAAAUCUGUUUAUCUCCAGACUUCUCUAUGACUCAAAUCUAUCAUCAAUCUCCCUGUAUGCAACAAAUAUUUUUGCCGUCUCCUAUUUGUAUGGCCUUCGUUCCUGAAAGUUGGAUACAGUUUCCAGAUGAUCGGAACCCGCCGACGACAACAUUGGCGCUACCUGGGGCCCUGAAUUCUCGGGGCGCAGAUGGCAAAUGCUGCCCAAUCCGGCUAUUGUCAUCUGUUUGUUCCUUUUAGUGUACAACAAACUCAUCAAUUCUUGCACUCCCAUUUAAGAUCGGCCAAAAUGACUCAAUGCUGCAACCAAGUGCUUCUACAGUGUUAUAUGCUAAUAGAGCAAACAACAUAACUAUAACAGGAGUAGAGACUUGAUUAUAAGCUAAAAGAAAUGUGGUCCUAGUUUUGAUCGCAAAGGGGUGACGACAACGACCAGUUUUAUUGAUAGGUACACACUGUCUCCGUUCGUUGCCUUGGCUGGUUUCUCUAGUAGAACUCCUGGUAGUGCUACCAACCUUUUAUCUCGCGUCAAACCGAAAUACAGGAAAAUAUUCAUUGCGUAUAAGUUGUUUGAAUCACCAGCUGCCAUGGGAGCAAAGCUGAUACGACGAAUUCCUCACAAUUCUUCAUGCCUCGUACAAAUCAUAUGUUCCUCCCUAGCCUAGCAUUAAUUUGACUAGUAUAUAGGAACAAAUGCGUUUGAGAGGGGAUAUCUUUACAGUUCUAUCCGGCUUGUGUGACGGAAAAUGACAAAACGUGCCAAGGCAAAGUGUUCUGGGCCGACUAAAAGUAUUUAUUUCGUCGAGAGAAGCAACGAAGCCCACUCCUCCGAGACACUGUUCCCUCCCACGUGACCUGUCAUUUAGCACCACCUCGGCAGUCUCAGUCUGUUCGUACCAGCUUAAAUAUUCUUCGUGACUGCCUGGUCUAGCCGAGUUCUGUAGCUGGAGCUUGUAACCCGAGCGGGGGCAUUAAGGUGGCGCGGAUGCUUUGCGAUGGUUUCUGGGCCUGGGCUCGUUGUGACUCUAGCCGGCUUGCCCAUCCCAAGUUGGUAGUGUCUGACGGGGCUCUAGCGAAAGCUUUGGGUCUCUGCAGACCUACAGCGGCAGGAAUGGCGUAAGGCUGGCUUCACAGAGCAGCGAUCACUGCCCACUUCCAACGGUGGGAGGAUAACAAGCCGCUGCACUUUGAGCCCAACACAGACCCAGAUCCUCUCUUAGCAA
rnacentral:lncRNA from 1 species